CCUGCUGGAGGUCCUUCAGGAGGUCCAGGAUCUGUGCCUGGACGGUCACGUCGAGGGCCGUGGUCGGUUCGUCGGCGAUCAGCAGGUCC
rnacentral:tRNA from 1 species